rnacentral:sRNA from 1 species
GGGAAGGGACAGGGAUGAGCACCUGUUUCUGUUCCGCUCUGUGUGUUGGCCCCAUGACUGCUCGCCCUCUCAGCAAGCUUUCUGAUACGAUUUAUUAAGAAUUGCUGAUGCAUUUGGAGGAUUUAAGCACAGCCUUCAAGAUGCUGCAACUAAGCACUCUACAGGCUUCAGACUUGAGACAGUCGGCUUCCCAUCUUCUGGUUCACAUGUAACCUAGGAGGCUGAGGCAAGAACAUUGCAACAUCAGCUAUUCCAUGUCUCAUCUAGCAUAGCUGUAACGAUGCUCUCAAUAACCCAUCACAAAUCAAUACUCUAAAGCAACACUGAGAUGAACACACCUGCAAGAAGGACAGCAGAGCCCAAGCAAACUAGGCUGGGUAUGGCUGGGUUGCAGCCACAUCUGAAGAGACAACAUAACUAUAUACUCCAAGCUCCUUCCCUCAAGUCUCCCCGCCAUGAUGGACUCCACAUUCAAACG